UGCAAGUCGAGCGGAAACGAUGGAAGCUUGCUUCCAGGCGUCGAGCGGCGGACGGGUGAGUAAUGCAUGGGAAUCUGCCCGAUAGUGGGGGAUAACCUGGGGAAACCCAGGCUAAUACCGCAUACGUCCUACGGGAGAAAGCAGGGGAUCUUCGGACCUUGCGCUAUCGGAUGAGCCCAUGUCGGAUUAGCUUGUUGGUGAGGUAAUGGCUCACCAAGGCGACGAUCCGUAGCUGGUCUGAGAGGAUGAUCAGCCACAUCGGGACUGAGACACGGCCCGAACUCCUACGGGAGGCAGCAGUGGGGAAUAUUGGACAAUGGGCGAAAGCCUGAUCCAGCCAUGCCGCGUGUGUGAAGAAGGCCCUCGGGUUGUAAAGCACUUUCAGUGGGGAGGAAAGCCUUGGGAUUAAUACUCCCGAGGAAGGACAUCACCCACAGAAGAAGCACCGGCUAACUCCGUGCCAGCAGCCGCGGUAAUACGGAGGGUGCGAGCGUUAAUCGGAAUUACUGGGCGUAAAGCGCGCGUAGGCGGUCUGAUAAGCCGGUUGUGAAAGCCCC
rnacentral:rRNA from 1 species